UACAGAGGCCACAAGCGUUAGACGGAAUCACUGGGCUUAAAGCGUGUGUAGGCGGGAUGGUAAGUACCUUGUGAAAUCCCACAGCUUAACUGUGGAAUUGCUUGGUAUACUGCCGUUCUUGAGUCACCUAGGGGCAGCUGGAACAGAUGGUGGAGCGGUGAAAUGCGUAGAUAUCAUUUGGAACGCCAAUGGUGAAAACAGGUAGCUGGGAGUGUGCUGACGCUGAGACACGAAAGCCAGGGGAGCGAACGGG
rnacentral:rRNA from 1 species